rnacentral:rRNA from 1 species
AUUGAACGCUGGCGGCAUGCCUUACACAUGCAAGUCGAACGGCAGCACGGGUGCUUGCACCUGGUGGCGAGUGGCGAACGGGUGAGUAAUACAUCGGAACAUGUCCUGUAGUGGGAGAUAGCCCGGCGAAAGCCGGAUUAAUACCGCAUACGAUCUACGGAUGAAAGCGGGGGACCUUCGGGCCUCGCGCUAUAGGGUUGGCCGAUGGCUGAUUAGCUAGUUGGUGGGGUAAAGGCCUACCAAGGCGACGAUCAGCAGCUGGUCUGAGAGGACGACCAGCCACACUGGGACUGAGACACGGCCCAGACUCCUACGGGAGGCAGCAGUGGGGAAUUUUGGACAAUGGGCGAAAGCCUGAUCCAGCAAUGCCGCGUGUGUGAAGAAGGCCUUCGGGUUGUAAAGCACUUUUGUCCGGAAAGAAAUCCUUGGCCCUAAUACGGUCGGGGGAUGACGGUACCGGAAGAAUAAGCACCGGCUAACUACGUG